ensembl:misc_RNA Metazoa_SRP Metazoan signal recognition particle RNA
GCCAGGUGUGGUGGCUCACACCUGUAAUCCCAGCACUUUGGGAGGCUGAGGCGGGUGGAUCAUCUGAGGUCAGGAGUUUGAGACCAGCCUGGCCAACAUGGUGAAACCCCGUCUCUA